rnacentral:rRNA from 1 species
UAAUACAGGGGGGGCAAGCGUUGUUCGGAAUUAUUGGGCGUAAAGGGCGUGUAGGCGGCCGAAUAAGUCAGAAGUGAAAUCCCAGGGCUCAACCCUGGAACUGCUUUUGAAACUGAUCGGCUUGAGUUCGGGAGAGGAAAACGGAAUUCCCAGUGUAGCGGUGAAAUGCGUAGAUAUUGGGAAGAACACCAGAGGCGAAGGCGGUUUUCUGGACCGAAACUGACGCUGAAACGCGAAAGCCAGGGGAGCGAACGGGAUUAGAUACCCCGGUAGUCCUGGCCGUAAACGAUGAGCGCUAGGUGUAGGGUGUCUGACCCAUUCUGCGCCGUAGCUAACGCAUUAAGCGCUCCGCCUGGGGAGUACGGUCGCAAGGCUG